GCCGGCAUAGCUCAGUGGUAGAGCAACUGCCUUGUAAGCAGUAGGUCCUCGGUUCGAAUCCGGGUGCCGGCUCCA
rnacentral:tRNA from 3 species